rnacentral:rRNA from 1 species
UACGUAGGGACCAAGCGUUGUUCGGAUUUACUGGGCGUAAAGGGCGCGUAGGCGGCUUAACAAGUCACUUGUGAAAUCUCCGGGCUUAACUCGGAACGGCCAAGUGAAACUGUCAAGCUAGAGUGCAGAAGGGGCAAUCGGAAUUCUUGGUGUAGCGGUGAAAUGCGUAGAUAUCGUAAGGAAGACCAGUGGCGAAGGCGGGUCUCUGGACAGUUCCCGACGCUGAGGCACGAAGGCCAGGGGAGCAAACGGG